AAUGGAAAGUGGGAACCAAUGGG
rnacentral:piRNA from 1 species